rnacentral:rRNA from 1 species
GGGCGCAAGCCUGAUGCAGCGACGCCGCGUGAGGGAUGGAGGCCUUCGGGUUGUAAACCUCUUUUAUCGGGGAGCAAGCGUGAGUGAGUUUACCCGUUGAAUAAGCACCGGCUAACUACGUGCCAGCAGCCGCGGUAUACGUAGGGUGCAAGCGUUAUCCGGAAUUAUUGGGCGUAAAGGGCUCGUAGGCGGUUCGUCGCGUCCGGUGUGAAAGUCCAUCGCUUAACGGUGGAUCCGCGCCGGGUACGGGCGGGCUUGAGUGCGGUAGGGGAGACUGGAAUUCCCGGUGUAACGGUGGAAUGUGUAGAUACCGGGAAGAACACC